UACGAAGGGGGGCUAGCGUUGUUCGGAAUUACUGGGCGUAAAGCGCACGUAGGCGGAUUUGUAAGUCAGGGGGUGAAAUCCCGGGGCUCAACCUCGGAACUGCCUUUGAUACUGCAAGUCUUGAGUCCGGAAGAGGUGAGUGGAAUUCCUAGUGUAGAGGUGAAAUUCGUAGAUAUUAGGAAGAACACCAGUGGCGAAGGCGGCUCACUGGUCCGGUACUGACGCUGAGGUGCGAAAGCGUGGGGAGCAAACAGGGAUUAAGAAACCCCGGUAGC
rnacentral:rRNA from 1 species